rnacentral:lncRNA from 10 species
UUUCCUGUUAGAGUAUGGAAAUACAGCUGAUUUUCUAUAUUGAUUUUGUAUCCUGAUACAUUACUUAUGCCCACUUUCAUCACUCCUAUUCAACCUAGAACUGGAAGUCCUUGUCAGAGGAAUGAGUGAAGAGAAAAAAUGGCAUCCAAAUUGAGAAAGAGAAGUUCACUGAGUUACCUUAGAACAAAUAUUUUGAGACAUUUUUUGGAAAAUUUGUGGAUCUCCAUGUUUUUUAUUUGGUAACUGCAAGUUUAUUGUUUUUCUUUGGUGGUAUCGUUUUCCUGAUUCUUCAUGAUCCUUGUCACCUUGCAUAAGUGGCUUCACAUUUGAAGAAACAGUAAUCUCUUCCAGAUUAUGUGGAAUAGCUUUGGUGUGAAAAGACUUUCAACUGUGGGAAGUGGAAGGAAGAUAAGGGAAUGCUGAAACAUGCUAUGGCAUCGGAUACCAAGUACAAGGACAUGUGCGGCUUUAGUUCUGCGGUUCACAGCAUCUUUUAAACUCGGGAAGCUGGGAUCUGCAACACUGGAAACUGGGUAGCCCAUGGUUUCAAGAGCUUCAGGAAUUCUACAGAGGGUAUAUGGGCUGUUGGGAUCUUCAGCAGUACUUCCAGAUUCUGCAGUAAGGGAUCAAAAUCAUUAGCAAUGUGGACCUGAGCUAAUGAUGCAUGUCCUUAGAUGUGGGGGCUGGCUGCAGAUGUUGUGCUUCUCUAUAGGGAUUAUAGUUGGUACUGUGCCUGUAUGUGGCUGAAGGAGGUAGGUGAAAGGACAAGUACAGUGGUUCAGGCCAGCGACAGGAUUAGGGGCUGGCUGCCUGUACAUGUGCAGCUGUAGAUCCCAGGGCUGGCAAUGUGCAUGUGCACAGCUCUAUUGCCUUUUGCAGGUUCCCAAGAAGCAGUGAGGAUUGACAUUUUAGGUUUGGGUUGGCUGCAUGCACACACAGCUGCGGGAUCCACCAUGGAUGCAUGUUUUGCAAUGGGACCUGGGGCCAAUGGCUGAGGCCUGGGCUGUGUUUGGGCAUUCAGAUGCAGUAGCUGCAUUGGGUCCCAGGACAGUUCCAGAGAUCGGGAUGUUAGCGAGGCAGUGGCUCAGGCACCUGGAGUCUGCAAAGGUGAAAAACUAUGGCCCUGGAGAUAAAGGAUACAGGUGUCCUCUGUAGAGCAGGCCACUGGGUACCAUGGUGGCUUCUGCCACAUGGCUGAUACUAAUAGUGCCACACUUCUUUGUUUCUUGCUGUUUCCAGAUGUGUCAGCUAUACCAGUUUCCUUAGUGAGCUGGGUAGGAUACCAGCAAAGGAGACCCUCUGGGCAAUGACCCUAAGUCUGAAGAAGCUGGUUAUUCAUCCCGCUUUUCUUUUUCCUAUGAAGGAAAACUAGUGAGACAAGGAUUUCCGUCUUUUUGUUAGCAAAGUCUUCCUGGGGGAUGGGAUGAUACAAGCAAAAUGAGUGUGUCUUUUUUCACCAUUUUGGUGCAGUUAUUCUUUUUUUCCUCUACUAUGUUGUUGUACCUUCUUAAAUUGACUUCUGAGCUCUACCAGGUUAUAGUCACUCAGGGAUGGCUGUCCAGUUAUUGUGUUUUGGUGGGAAGACAAAAGCUGGAAUCUUUUGCUUCACAGCCUGGUUGAUGAUACUCUCCCAAUUAUUGUUAUUAUUGCUAUUGUUACAAUUUUUACAAACUGGUACAUAAGUUUACAAUUACUAGUCAGAGGCUCAACCAUAUAGGCACAUAAUAUAUUUAAAUGAAUAAAUACAUGAAUUGAAGACAUAUCAGGCGGUGUUAAACAUAGUUAUCCCUGAAACACGGCACGAUCUAGCAUAUGCAAUUUUUCCUUUGCCUCCUGCAAACAUUUACAACCUGGCUAAAAGUCUAGCAUCUGCUGUCAGAAAACUGAGUCACAGAACAAUCUGCUGCCUUGUUCAAACUUACCAGCAUUUUAAGUGUCAUGACUGGGAUUUAAGCCAGGCUGUCUGCCUUAGGGCACCAGGCAUUGGAACACUUACCUGUAUCACGUUUCUAAGUAUUAUGAUUAAACUUUAUUUAUUUAGCAUCAAGAAGCAGGGAAAAUAAAUAUAAACUGGAUUAGUGGUUACUAGACUAAAAACAGAGUAGAUUAUAGGCAUAUAAAUAAAGGCUUUUAAACCCUUCUAUAAGAAAUUGAUUACUUUCUACAGAAUAAAAUGUUUCCUAUGCUUCCAGUGUAGCUUAAGUGGGCACUCAGCAAACAGAGGUAAAAAUUAGGUGUUUAAAAUGAAAUUCUUUAAAAAAUACAUUAAUUUGUCACUAAAGUUUUUUCAGAUUUAUUCUUGGGGUGGGGAUAAAAGACAUUGAAUGCCAUGUAUUUCAUCUCAUCCCAAUACCUCACCAGGACAAAUGCAGGAUAUUACAUUGAAAGAUACAUGCCUGGAAUUUAAACAGGCACUUAAUUUGUGCGAUAAACAUUGAUAAAAUGUCCUAGACACUGUGCUGAGGACUGAGGAUACUGAGAUGAAUGAGACCGUGUCCUACCUUUUAAAUAAUUCACCUUCCAAGGUGGAGAAAUGCAUGUAAAGUUAGACUCAUAAUGCCAGGUAGAAAAGCAUAUCAAAGUGUCUUUAAAUUUACAUCAUAAGUGGCAACCUUAGCAGCCUAGGAGAGUUGCAAAGACUUCACAGCGGGAAGUAUCUUUGAGCUUUGUUUUAAUGAGUGUAAAUGAUUUCACUAUCCAAAAAUAUGGAUGAUAAAAGCAUUUUAAGCGUGGGAAUAGCAUAUGUACAGUGACAGAGAAACUGGCACUAUCUCAGAGACUAUUGUAAUUUAGAGAAAAUAAGGGAAAAAGUUGAAAAUAUAAUGGUAAAUAAUAUAACUUUAUAUAUAUAUUCCAAUAAAUAUAUGUUUUAUAACUAUAUCAAAGGUGAAGCUUUGAUAUAAUGCAAAGAAAUAUGAGAGAUAAUAAGACACUUUUUUCAAACAUUAUAAACUGCACAGCCAUUUUGAUUUUCAUUAAAAG